AGAGUUUGAUCCUGGCUCAGGACGAACGCUGGCGGCGUGCCUAAUACAUGCAAGUAGAACGCUGAAGGAGGAGCUUGCUUCUCUGGAUGAGUUGCGAACGGGUGAGUAACGCGUAGGUAACCUGCCUGGUAGCGGGGGAUAACUAUUGGAAACGAUAGCUAAUACCGCAUAACAGUAGAUAUCGCAUGAUAACUGCUUAAAAGGUGCAAUUGCAUCACUACCAGAUGGACCUGCGUUGUAUUAGCUAGUUGGUGAGGUAACGGCUCACCAAGGCGACGAUACAUAGCCGACCUGAGAGGGUGAUCGGCCACACUGGGACUGAGACACGGCCCAGACUCCUACGGGAGGCAGCAGUAGGGAAUCUUCCGCAAUGGGCGAAAGCCUGACGGAGCAACGCCGCGUGAGUGAAGAAGGAUUUCGGUUCGUAAAGCUCUGUUGUUAGGGAAGAAUGAUUGUGUAGUAACUAUACACAGUAGAGACGGUACCUAACCAGAAAGCCACGGCUAACUACGUGCCAGCAGCCGCGGUAAUACGUAGGUGGCAAGCGUUGUCCGGAUUUAUUGGGCGUAAAGCGAGCGCAGGCGGUUCCUUAAGUCUGAUGUGAAAGCCCCCGGCUCAACCGGGGAGGGUCAUUGGAAACUGGGGAACUUGAGUGCAGAAGAGGAGAGUGGAAUUCCAUGUGUAGCGGUGAAAUGCGUAGAUAUAUGGAGGAACACCAGUGGCGAAGGCGACUCUCUGGUCUGUAACUGACGCUGAGGCUCGAAAGCGUGGGUAGCAAACAGGAUUAGAUACCCUGGUAGUCCACGCCGUAAACGAUGAGUGCUAAGU
rnacentral:rRNA from 1 species